UUUCGCGGAAGUCCAUGCGCCAUUGGGAGGGCGGCAGCGGCUGCUCUGUGCCCUUGUUUCCGAGUGCGUCUUCGUCGGGUCAUUCUUGCAGCAGGAGUGGGACUGGGGCUAACACCGGAGCCCCGGGCGGCCGUCUCGGCGCCAGUGUGACCUCCCCGCGGGCGGGAUGUUGCGACUACGCCGGGCCGCGGUGGCCUGUGAAGUUUGCCAAUCCUUAGUGAAACAUAGCUCUGGAAUAAAAGGAAGCUUACCACUACAAAAACUGCAUCUGGUUUCACGAAGUAUUUAUCAUUCACAUCAUCCUACCUUAAAGCUUCAAAGACCCCAGUUAAGGACAUCAUUUCAGCAGUUCUCUUCUCUAACUAACCUUCCUUUACGUAAAUUGAGGCUUUCUCCAAUUAAGUAUGGCUACCAGCCACGCAGGAAUUUUUGGCCAGCAAGGUUAGCUGCAAGGCUUUUAAAACUUCGAUAUCUCAUACUAGGAUCUGCUGUUGGGGGUGGCUAUACAGCCAAAAAGACUUUUGAUCAGUGGAAAGAUAUGAUACCUGAUCUCAGUGACUAUAAAUGGAUUGUGCCUGACAUCGUGUGGGAGAUUGAUGAGUAUAUCGAUUUUGAAAAAAUUAGAAAAGCCCUGCCUAAUUCAGAAGACCUUGCCAAGUUGGCACCGGAUUUUGACAAGAUUGUUGAAAGCCUCAGCUUAUUGAAGGAUGUUUUUACCACAGGUCACAAAUUGGUUAGUGAAGUCAUAGGAGCUUCUGACCUACUUCUCUUGUUAGGUUCACCUGGAGAGACAGCAUUUAGAGCAACAGAUCAUGGAUCUGAAAGUGACAAGCAUUAUAGAAAGGGUCUGCUUGGUGAGCUCAUUCUCUUACAACAGCAAAUUCAAGAGCAUGAAGAAGAAGCACGCAGAGCUGCUGGCCAAUAUAGCACAAGCUAUGCCCAACAGAAACGAAAGGUAACAGAUAAAGAGAAAAUUGAUCAACUUCAAGAAGAACUCCUGCAUACGCAGUUAAAGUACCAGAGAAUCUUGGAACGGUUAGAAAAGGAGAACAAAGAAUUGAGAAAACUGGUAUUGCAAAAAGAUGACAAAGGCAUCCAUCAUAGAAAGCUUAAGAAAUCUUUGAUUGACAUGUAUUCUGAGGUUCUUGAUGUUCUGUCUGAUUAUGAUGCCAGUUAUAACACCCAAGAUCAUCUGCCACGGGUUGUUGUGGUUGGAGAUCAGAGUGCUGGAAAAACUAGUGUUUUGGAAAUGAUUGCUCAAGCACGAAUAUUCCCUCGAGGUUCUGGGGAGAUGAUGACACGUUCUCCAGUUAAGGUGACUCUUAGUGAAGGUCCUCACCACGUGGCCUUAUUUAAAGAUAGUUCUCGGGAGUUUGAUCUUACCAAAGAGGAAGAUCUUGCAGCCUUAAGACAUGAAAUAGAACUCCGAAUGAGGAAAAGUGUGAAAGAAGGCUGUACCGUUAGUCCUGAGACCAUAUCUUUAAAUGUAAAAGGCCCUGGGCUACAGAGAAUGGUGCUUGUUGACUUACCUGGUGUGAUUAAUACUGUGACAUCAGGCAUGGCUCCUGACACAAAGGAAACUAUCUUUAGUAUCAGCAAAGCUUAUAUGCAGAAUCCUAAUGCCAUCAUUCUGUGUAUUCAAGAUGGAUCUGUGGAUGCUGAACGCAGUAUUGUUACAGACUUGGUCAGUCAAAUGGAUCCUCAUGGAAGAAGGACAAUAUUUGUUUUGACCAAAGUAGAUCUGGCAGAGAAAAAUGUGACUAGUCCAAGCAGGAUUCAGCAGAUAAUUGAAGGAAAACUCUUCCCAAUGAAAGCUCUAGGUUAUUUUGCUGUUGUAACAGGAAAAGGAAACAGCUCUGAAAGCAUUGAAGCUAUAAGAGAUUAUGAAGAAGAAUUUUUUCAGAAUUCAAAACUCUUAAAGACAAGCAUGCUAAAGGCACACCAAGUGACUACAAGAAAUUUAAGCCUUGCUGUAUCAGACUGCUUUUGGAAAAUGGUACGAGAAUCAGUUGAACAACAGGCUGAUAGUUUCAAAGCAACACGCUUUAAUCUUGAAACUGAGUGGAAGAAUAACUACCCUCGCCUGCGAGAACUUGACCGGAAUGAACUAUUUGAAAAAGCUAAAAAUGAAAUACUCGAUGAAGUUAUCAGUCUGAGCCAGGUUACGCCAAAACAUUGGGAAGAAAUCCUUCAACAAUCUUUGUGGGAAAGAGUAUCAACUCAUGUAAUCGAAAACAUCUAUCUUCCCGCUGCACAGACCAUGAAUUCAGGAACUUUUAAUACUACAGUAGAUAUCAAGCUUAAACAGUGGACUGAUAAACAGCUUCCAAAUAAAGCAGUAGAGGUUGCUUGGGAGACCCUACAAGAAGAAUUUUCUCGCUUCAUGACAGAACCAAAAGGGAAAGAGCAUGAUGACAUAUUUGAUAAACUUAAAGAAGCUGUUAAGGAAGAAAGUAUUAAACGCCACAAGUGGAAUGACUUUGCAGAAGAUAGCUUGAGAGUUAUUCAACACAAUGCUUUAGAAGACCGGUCCAUAUCUGAUAAACAGCAGUGGGAUGCAGCUAUUUAUUUUAUGGAAGAGGCUCUUCAGGCUCGUCUGAAGGAUACUGAAAAUGCAAUUGAAAACAUGGUAGGUCCAGAUUGGAAGAAGAGGUGGUUAUACUGGAAGAAUCGCACCCAAGAACAGUGUGUUCAUAAUGAAACCAAGAAUGAACUGGAGAAGAUGUUGAAAUGUAAUGAGGAACACCCAGCUUAUCUUGCAAGUGAUGAGAUCACCACAGUCCGAAAGAACCUUGAAUCCCGAGGAGUAGAAGUAGAUCCAAGUUUGAUUAAGGACACUUGGCACCAAGUUUAUAGAAGACAUUUCUUAAAAAGUGCUCUAAACCAUUGUAACCUUUGUCGAAGGGGCUUUUACUACUACCAAAGGCAUUUUGUAGAUUCUGAGUUGGAAUGUAAUGAUGUAGUCCUGUUUUGGCGAAUACAGCGCAUGCUAGCUAUCACUGCAAAUACUUUAAGGCAGCAACUUACAAACACUGAAGUCAGGCGAUUGGAGAAAAAUGUCAAAGAGGUUUUGGAAGAUUUUGCCGAAGACAGUGAAAAGAAGGUUAGGUUGCUUACUGGUAAAAGAGUCCAGCUGGCUGAAGACCUUAAGAAAGUAAGAGAAAUUCAAGAAAAACUUGAUGCUUUCAUUGAAGCCCUUCAUCAGGAGAAGUAAAUUAUAUUAAAUAAUUUGACUGCCUUCUGGCUGAGCUAAAAAUAUCCACCAGAACUCAUUUUGAACGGUUGCCACAUUAGAAUCCUACUCAUAAUAUAAUCGCCUCUGCAUACAACAGAAGAAAGAAAACUCCUCCAAAGGCUUUUGUCCUGCCUCUUUUUUUUCCUGCUAUUCACCUUUCUAAACAUACAGUAAAGUCACGGGAUAAAAAUAAUUUAUGCGUGUUAGAAGUGCUUUACCAUCAGCUGCCCUUGGAACGGAAAAACAGUUGAAAUGUCAUUAACAGCCUAUGUUAUUUAAGUGACAAAUUGGGAUAAUAUAAAGGGUAUGGCCAUUGAGUUCAAUUUUUGAGGAUAAGAAACUUGCUUUCCUGCUUGUUAUCUCCUUUGUGGUGACACUAGUACAGCUAAUUCAUUUACUUAUGUUACCUAAUGUCAGUUGUUUUCUUUUCCAGAAAAAAAUAAUGCUAAGUGUUUUGAAAUAAAACUUGAACAGCAUUUUUUUUUUUAAAUUGUCAAUUGUAUAUAAAAUGAUGGUGACCUGCCAAGUUGUUGUCUGUAUCUGCAGUAUUCUUUAUCCAGGAACUAUUUGGCCAUGAUAAUUCAGUUUAUAUUCGCCACAUGAAAAAAAAAAACUGGUUAACACAGGAACCCUUCAAAUAGGUUAAUUUCAAUUACAACAAUUCAAGGUACAUUCAGAAAGAAAUUUUAACCCUUCGCUGAUGUUAGAGAUUUGUCUUAGAACUAAGUCAGUUUACCUAUUUGAUUCAGUUGAUGUGUUUUUUGUACUCUCCUUUUGAAUUAAUUCAUUUCAGAUGAAUUAAAUGAAUUUAGAUGAAUUUAAGUUAGGCUCUCUGCUAACAGUGUUUUCCUAUUGACAGAGCCAUUGAAUUAUGAUACAGGAUGGAGAAGAUUAGGAUGAUCAGUUGAUUAAUUUCAUUUUGAUUCUUUUCAAACAUUUCAACUAGACAUCAGGAAAGGCUUCCUUUCAUAAGACUGUAUUUUAAAUAGAAAUAAUUUAAACAAUUACAAUAAUGUUGAGCAUCCCGUCCUAGCUGAAUGUUUAAAGAAAAACUUAAAGUUUAAUUCAUUCUAGUUCAUUUACAAUAAUGCCCUCACAUCAUUUUCUUGUGUUUUAUAUAAAUAUUUUUUAUCAGCUAAAGGACUUUAAAGCAAAGAAUUAUGCCAUUUUUGCCUAAAAUAUUUUUCUCAUUUAACUCUCAUCUUUCUGGCCCUUUCAUUAAGCUUUUAUUCUUCUAAUUAAAAUGCCCAUCAUGUGACAGUUUUUAUUUUACAGUUACCUGAUGCUCCUUUUCUUGGAGUUGUUUUUUUUGAUAACAGGUCCCUUGCCACUGCUACCACCACCACCACCCCUUUUUUAAAUAUUCAUAUGUCCUUAAUUUUCAUCUCUCAAGAUCUAACAUUCAAUAUGCAAUGUUGAAGGCUAUCACAAAAUAUUUAAGAAAUCAACAGUUUACAUCAACUCAAUAAAUACUUGUUUUGUACUGUUUGACAAGAAAAGUGGAUCCAUUUUUAAAAUAACUAGUAGCAGUAUCUGUUGUUAAUUGGUAGAUGAGUAGUCAAGAACAUUUCACGUUUCUUUUAGGUCUAGAGACAGUGGUUAACAGAAAGGGAGUAGAUCUCCCUAAUGUUCUAUACAAAAAUUAGGAGAUGACCACACUGGUUAAAUCACUCUAACCUGUGCUGGCUGGCAGAUAAACCCCCUCAUUGAAGCAGACAUUAUGUAAUGCUAAUGAAUGUUUUUGUGGUUGUAAAACAGAACCACUUUAUAGCUACACAUCUAUUUCUAAAGGAAAGAAAAAAAGGAGGGCUGUAUUUAUUUCUGAUAACUGUGGACUAGAAAAAAAAAGCCCUCAUCUGUAGUUCUGCAGAUUUCUCUCAAGCAAAAGACUGACUGAAGUCAGUCAGUACUUUUAUCACAUCCCUUUGUAUAAAUUUAAAAAGCGGGGGGCGGGGAGCGGCUUGUAUUUAUUGAGGAGAUCAGUAUUGUAAAUGAAACUUAUAAAUAGAUGAUAUUAUUAAAAAUUCAAAUAUAAGAGUCCAGACAUCCCCCCAACCCAUCAAUAUUCAUAGAUUUUUUUCUUUUGAUCUCAUACUAGGCCUCUUUUUUUUCCUUGAAAGCUAAGAAUUUAUUAAAUGCAGAUGUUAUUGAGAAAAAGAAAUAAAAUUCAGAUUCUGAACACUAAAGCCUGUGCAUCAUGUCUUUAGUUCAAAAGUUAGAAAUGAUUCAAAUUUAAGCAAAAAAAAAAAAAACCUCUUCACAGAAGUUAAAAUCUAGACAGGAAUCAUUCGUUUUUUACGUCCAGAUUUGCAAAAAAAUGGAGUGAAAAGAGGUCAAAAUUUACUUGGUUAGAGUACCAGUUUUUAAGAUCAGCCUAUGUAGACAACAUACAAUAGGAAAUAAGCAGUUCUUGUUCAACAGUUGAACUGGCUGAACUGUAGUUAUAGGUGGAGCAAUCAGCCUUUUUUAGUAGUUUAAUUAUAUUCUCGCCUCUGUGUUAUCCCAGUUUUCCAGGCUUUACUCCAGUGAACUCCUUCCCACAAAUAAUUUAGCUUCCCAAAUCCACAUGAGUAGUAUAAAAAUGAGAACAAAGAACAUUAUAGAGGAGGUGCUUCCUAAUCUUACAACUUCGAAAUUUUACAUAUAAGAUUCAGAGUAUAGGUUUAAGUAAAUUCCUUAUCUAGUUAAUUUUAGAUUUAUUUAUUUUAGAUAUAUUUAUCUGAGAGAAGGUAUUUUAGCUUUCCAGUAAAGGGGAUCAAAGCGGUAGUUUUUAUCACAAUUCUUUAAACUUGUACAUGCUAUGGUUUCAGAUACUUGAGCAGUACAAAAUUAUAUGCUUACUUUUGAAACAAUCAUGACUGUAUAUUAUUUAAGUGUUUAAAACUUACCUUGUUUUCACUUGUGCAUGGUGAAUGAACUUUGUAUUAUUUUUAAAAAACGCCAACUACGUGUAGAUGUUAUUGCAACUUAUAUUUUGCCUGUACUUGAUCUAAGGUAACUUGUGUAUGAGUAAUUAAAAUAUUUAAAUCCCAUUAGAAUUCUGUUACUGAAGAACAUCUUUUAAGUUUUUUCUGCUUUAAUGAGAGAGAGAGAGACCUGUGAACAUAGAUAGGGUCAUUAUUUGACCCCACGGUGUAACAAAAUUCAUAUUCUAACAAGCCUCUUAAAUGUGGCUCUUUUCUGAAUGCUUGAAUUUCACAUACCUUGCAUUUCACAGUUGUAAUCCAUGGUCAAUCAAUGCUUUUGUUCAUGUGUUGAUACUUGUCAAAUCAUCUUGCUAUUUCCUUUGAUAAAAUAUAUUAAAAAGUUUUCUAAUUGUA